CAGAUUAGAAAGAGAUACAAAAAAUACAAUACAUUCACUCUCCUCUUUUCUAUUAUUUUCAAGCUAACUUGAGGUCUAUUCCAUUAUUCUCAAGCAAACUUGAGCGUCGGAGUUACAAUUCCAUUAUUCUCAAACUGACUUGAAUGUCGGAGUUACAACGAGGAGAUAGUCUCAAUGUUCGCCACAUUGCAGCAGUGGAACGGAAAAAUUUUGAAUCUGGAGAAUAGUUCAUCAUCAACCAGUGGCAGAUGACUACGAUCUGAAUCAAGAAGGCCGAAGUGCAUACCUCCGUGGGACUGCUAACUCUUAAGACUUUCCAUUUUUUUUCCGGGGACAUGUCACUCUAGCAUAUAUGGGGAAAAAGAUGAAGAUGGAGACUUAAAUAAUUUCUUUGAUGGCUGACCAGGUCAGGUGGCUCUGAGUUCAUUCACAGAUCAUGCUAUUGGUCUCAAAGCAUUACAAGCAAAAACCGUAACUGGUUUUGCCAAGGGGAAACUAAUACAAAAUCUAUGAGAACUUCUAUUCGAAGAAUUCCUUAAGAACUAGUAUAACGUUGAGUACAAGCUUUCUGCCAACCAUGCAACAGAACAGGGUGGCAUAUCACCGUCACUAGAUUCACGGUAUUAAUCACCAGGGAAAAAAAAAA